ACAGGCGGGCCCAUGCAAGGCACGUGACUGCUUUAGGGUUGCCAUGUAUAUAUAUCACAUUUACAUGACACAAGUGAACGAAUACAUAGAGAGCUCUGUAUUCUAAUUUGGCAUCUGGUGUAUAUGAACAUAUUGAUGAGGCUCUCCUGGGUUUCUUGUUGAUGAAAUUUAUGAAGCAUUUUGAUGGCUAAUGAGGGUGCACUGGUGUUGCUGGUGGUGCUCGCGGCGUUCCUCGUUUUCCUCCCGCUUGUGCUUCCGCCGCUACCGCCGCCGCCGUCGCUCUUCCUCCUAAUCCCCUUAGGCUUGAUGCUGUGCCUUGCCUUCCUAGCUCUCGGCGCCUCUUCGGCCCCCUCAUAACUUCCCCCCUCUACGUAUCGAAGACACGGACGUACAUCAUCACAUACUUCCGUGCGAUUCCACCAGUGUAAGAGCAGAAACAAAGAGAGGAGAAAGAAGUUAGAAGGUAGUCUCAGUCAUUCACCAAUCAUUAUUUUGUCAGUGCGUUUCUGAUCAGAAUCCGUCCUUUAGCUUUCCUCCCAUUAGACGUGCAGGCAUUCAUUCUUCAAGAGAGAUCAAAUUUCUUCGGCGGCGCGCGGAACCGGCCGGGGAUGGGUAACAAUUACCUGAUCAUGUUGCAAAAGAAGCAACAUAAGAAGAAAUAAAAAGGAGGCAACUAAUGGAACACGUAUAAAUUGCACGGAAGUGAAAAAGAUAGGAGGAGGGAAAAAAUGGGGAGUUUGACUACUUGUUGUUAGGCUAUGCAUGUCGAAUUGUGGUAAAAUUAGUUGACAUUUUGCGCUGUUCAUAAUGCAUGUAAACCCGAGAAGAAUUAUGUUAAUGAAGAUGUUAUUGAAAUAAUUCGUGAUCAAAAACGUGUAGUUUUGUUUAA